rnacentral:rRNA from 1 species
GCUCGCCGGAAGACCAAGGGUUCCUGUCCAACGUUAAUCGGGGCAGGGUGAGUCGACCCCUAAGGCGAGGCCGAAAGGCGUAGUCGAUGGGAAACAGGUUAAUAUUCCUGUACUUGGUGUUACUGCGAAGGGGGGACGGAGAAGGCUAUGUUGGCCGGGCGACGGUUGUCCCGGUUUAAGCGUGUAGGCUGGUUUUCCAGGCAAAUCCGGAAAACUAAGGCUGAGGCGUGAUGACGAGGCACUACGGUGCUGAAGCAACAAAUGCCCUGCUUCCAGGAAAAGCCUCUAAGCAUCAGGUAACAUCAAAUCGUACCCCAAACCGACACAGGUGGUCAGGUAGAGAAUACCAAGGCGCUUGAGAGAACUCGGGUGAAGGAACUAGGCAAAAUGGUGCCGUAACUUCGGGAGAAGGCACGCUGAUAUGUAGGUGAAGUCCCUCGCGGAUGGAGCUGAAAUCAGUCGAAGAUACCAGCUGGCUGCAACUGUUUAUUAAAAACACAGCACUGUGCAAACACGAAAGUGGACGUAUACGGUGUGACGCCUGCCCGGUGCCGGAAGGUUAAUUGAUGGGGUCAGCGCAAGCGAAGCUCUUGAUCGAAGCCCCGGUAAACGGCGGCCGUAACUAUAACGGUCCUAAGGUAGCGAAAUUCCUUGUCGGGUAAGUUCCGACCUGCACGAAUGGCGUAAUGAUGGCCAGGCUGUCUCCACCCGAGACUCAGUGAAAUUGAACUCGCUGUGAAGAUGCAGUGUACCCGCGGCAAGACGGAAAGACCCCGUGAACCUUUACUAUAGCUUGACACUGAACAUUGAGCCUUGAUGUGUAGGAUAGGUGGGAGGCUUUGAAGUGUGGACGCCAGUCUGCAUGGAGCCGACCUUGAAAUACCACCCUUUAAUGUUUGAUGUUCUAACGUUGACCCGUAAUCCGGGUUGCGGACAGUGUCUGGUGGGUAGUUUGACUGGGGCGGUCUCCUCCUAAAGAGUAACGGAGGAGCACGAAGGUUGGCUAAUCCUGGUCGGACAUCAGGAGGUUAGUGCAAUGGCAUAAGCCAGCUUGACUGCGAGCGUGACGGCGCGAGCAGGUGCGAAAGCAGGUCAUAGUGAUCCGGUGGUUCUGAAUGGAAGGGCCAUCGCUCAACGGAUAAAAGGUACUCCGGGGAUAACAGGCUGAUACCGCCCAAGAGUUCAUAUCGACGGCGGUGUUUGGCACCUCGAUGUCGGCUCAUCACAUCCUGGGGCUGAAGUAGGUCCCAAGGGUAUGGCUGUUCGCCAUUUAAAGUGGUACGCGAGCUGGGUUUAGAACGUCGUGAGACAGUUCGGUCCCUAUCUGCCGUGGGCGCUGGAGAACUGAGGGGGGCUGCUCCUAGUACGAGAGGACCGGAGUGGACGCAUCACUGGUGUUCGGGUUGUCAUGCCAAUGGCACUGCCCGGUAGCUAAAUGCGGAAGAGAUAAGUGCUGAAAGCAUCUAAGCACGAAACUUGCCCCGAGAUGAGUUCUCCCUGACUCCUUGAGAGUCCUGAAGGAACGUUGAAG